CAGUAGCCGCGGUAAUACAGAGGGUGCGAGCGUUAAUCGGAUUUACUGGGCGUAAAGCGUGCGUAGGCGGCUUUUUAAGUCGGAUGUGAAAUCCCUGAGCUUAACUUAGGAAUUGCAUUCGAUACUGUGAAGCUAGAGUAUGGGAGAGGAUGGUAGAAUUCCAGGUGUAGCGGUGAAAUGCGUAGAGAUCUGGAGGAAUACCGAUGGCGAAGGCAGCCAUCUGGCCUAAUACUGACGCUGAGGUACGAAAGCAUGGGGAGCAAACAGGAUUAGAUACCCCCGUAGUCCCUGUCUCUUAUAC
rnacentral:rRNA from 1 species